UUUGAUGGCGACCGGCGCACGGGUGAGUAACACGUAUCCAACCUGCCGAUGACUCGGGGAUAGCCUUUCGAAAGAAAGAUUAAUACCCGAUGGCAUAGUUCUUCCGCAUGGUGGAACUAUUAAAGAAUUUCGGUCAUCGAUGGGAUGCGUUCCAUUAGGUUGUUGGCGGGGUAACGGCCCACCAAGCCUUCGAUGGAUAGGGGUUCUGAGAGGAAGGUCCCCCACAUUGGAACUGAGACACGGUCCAAACUCCUACGGGAGGCCAGCAUG
rnacentral:rRNA from 1 species